CCAUGAUGUCUGGCUGACAAGUUGUUAUGAAACUGUAAGGCUCUACACAGCAUUGGUUCAAGUCCAGAACACAGUAAAUGAGUGCUCUGCCUGUACAUCAGCAUGUUGUUAUGCCUUGGCAGCAAAUCCUAAUGGUACUGCUCAGUAACAAUACAAGAGGCACACCACCUUCUCAACACAGAAAGAUAGUUCCUGCUCCAGCAGAUGGAAGUAAAACACGUUGCCCUUGGGAAAGCAGUAACUGGAAAACAAUAUCGGACACUGGAUGGAUGAGUUCUCUGCACAAAAAUUAUUGAAAGAAAAAUCAGAAGCAACUUAUGGCCAGUAUU